GCUCUUCUCUGAACUUUUUCAAUUUGUAAAUUUUGUUGUUUUUGAUGUGGGUCCCAAAUUGUUGAGCAGUACUCUAAUUUUGGUCGGACAAGAGCUUUAUAUGCAUGAGCUUUAACUUUUGGUGAUGCUAUUUUUAGGUUUCUACGAAUAAAUCCAAGGGACUGGUUUGCUUUUGAUGUCAUGUUAUCUAUAUGUUUGUCCCAUUUUAAAUUUGAUUGAAGAGUUAGGCCUAAAUAUUUUGUAGAGUCAACUUUUUCUAAAGAGUGAUUGUGUAAUUUAUAGGUAAA
rnacentral:lncRNA from 1 species